rnacentral:misc_RNA from 1 species
CAAGAAUCCAAUGCCGCCAUUUCAAUUUGUGUGAAAAUUUCAUAUAUGAAUAAAAUGUUUAAAAGAAAAUUUUCAAAUUACCUUACAGAUUUCAUUCAAUAUGGAUACAAUGUUGGCUAGAAAUUUGAAAGAGAAAAUUUGAAGGGGAAAAAGGGAUAAACAGAAGAAGGAAGAGGACUGCUUCAACUGAUAGAUUUGAAAUGUGGUCAUUUCAUUCCAAAAAAUUGAGUAAACUACAUUAUUGUCAAGCGCAAGCUUUCGGAGCUCCAUUUCAUGGAAAAUUACAGAAAAAUUGGGAUCACUCCUCCAUGAUCUCGUUUUCUGGAAUCUGAAACAGUGUAAUUCCCACAUUCACUCGUGCUUAAAAAAUAGCUUCUUGCCCACCUUUUGCCUUGUGAAGAUCAAUAAAAUGUAGUAAGACUUCUGCGGAAAGAGAAAGGAUGAAUUCUAACUUGAGCAAGUUUCAAAGUUUCUACCCAAUGUAGAGCAUCCACAUAAGGAUAUCAUCUGUUCACGAAGCACGCGACGAUCCAGUGAAUCAAGUUAUUUUCAGGCUUAGACCAGUAGAAUCCUUGAAUUGCAAUAAUAGCUAUGUUAGAAGUUACAAGAACAAAGAUACUUAAGGAAUGCUUUCCCAUCCACCCCAGUGGCGUUGUCACCCAUCUGUAACCAUAUACAUCUACCAGCAAGUAUAAAGCACAAAAUGUGAUUCCUGCAGAAGCAGAAGUAAUCAGCAUAUAACUAAUUGUAUAGAGAGAUUUAUUCACUGGGAUGCCUGCAAAACAAAAGCAAAGGGGUUUAAGAUUCAGUAUUGUGAGGAGGAGAUCAAAUUCAUAUGAAUUUGCUAAAAGCCUAAAAUUGAUUGCUAGAAUAAAUUGGUUGGGAAAAUCAAAUUUAGACAAGAAGAAGCUUUUCAAUUUACUAUGAACAUGGAAUGUUUACUAGAAGAAAACUACAGUAGCAUUGUUCCUUCUUUUGUUGUCAUCAUCAUAAGAAGAAAUCUGAAUAUUCAUUAAAGGCAAAAUUAUGAGCCAUUGAAGAGCAUACCUAUGAAGGCAAGGAACAUUCCAAGGAGAAAAAGUGAAACAGAAAAUAAAGACCAGCUUUGUAUGCGCUCCUUGUGGCUCUGAAAAGCAUUUGUGUAACAUCAAUGUGCUUGACGACCAGUGACCAAAACAAUUGAUCAAAAUGGCAUCAACGGCGUUAGUAGAGGCGAUGUAUGCCUAAAUAUGAUGAGAUGCUUUUCACCUCUAUAGUUUCAAUCAUUUUUGAAACAUCUCCCUUGGAUGAUGAAGUUGACCAUAGGAAAAAAGAAUGAAAAGAAGCGAGUAAAGUGAAUAAGUCACAAAUGUAUCACCUGUAUGUGAGCAAGAACAUGACCGCACUGAAGUCCAAUUAUGCAGGUCACUGCAGCCGUUAAGGAGCUGUGAAUGUGCAGUAAAACAUUAGUGAAUAAUCAACUUGUUAGUAGGUCAGAGAAUGGUCUGGUAAUUGUUCCAUGACAGAAGAUUGAUGCCAAAAGGUCUCUUAAUGUCUGUGAAAAGAAGUGUUGAGGUACUUCCAAUAGUACUUGUGAAUUGGAGUGUAUUUUCCAAAUGUUUAAUGCAAUUUUAGCAAUAUGAUAUUUGAAAUAACUAGUUAAAAUAAAAAUUCUAAUUUUUUUAAAAAAGAAAAGAAGGGUUAAAAUCAAAAGACUCUGGAAGAAACUAUUUCGUUACUGGUGUUUAAUCAUUGGAAGGGAUUUUGUUGAUAUAACUAGACUUAGUCAAUGAAGAGUGUUGCUUGUAAAUCUAAUUUUUUGAGGUGCUUCAUGAUGAUUCAUUGAGAAAUUUAAUUUAAAAUGUAGGUCAGAUUCUUUAAGAGUAUGCUCAUAUGCGUGCCACCACUCAGUUUCUCCAAUUGUUCGAUUAAAUACUCCUUAACCACCAAUUAAAUGUGGUAGUUUGAGUAUGAAAUAAAAGUGUGCUGAAGAGAAUGAAGAAGAAUUGCCACCAAGAAAUUAGAACCGAAAAAGAGAUUAAAAUGGCCACCUUAAAAGACCUUCGGGAUCGGAAGGAGCAUGACACCAUGAAGGUGAACUUUCUGAAACUUGGCUGUUUGUCAUAUUACAUUCCUAUAAGUUGAAAUCUUUAUCAGAGAUCAGUAUAUUGCAUACUGAUGGAAAGAAACUAUAAAAUGAACUUCUCAGAGACCUUCAGGUUUCUGUACACAGGUUUUGCAUAUAGAUGGUCAAUACCAAGAACAUAGCGAUCAAUCAUUCCAGCUGAAUUACAAGCUGGUCCAAGAUCACCUCUUACAGAACAUUUCACCAUGUAAGCAUAGCUGCCAUUGAUUGGAAGCAUAGAAGAAGUUGGACUUGAUAUUUCAAAUCUCCAAUCAGGAACAUAUAAACCAUAUACUAAUCCCAGAUACAUUGCUGACAAUGAAAAUGCCAAAAUCCAGUGCCAAUAAUAACUCUUGAAGAAACCUACUUCCCUGUGUGUUCGACGUGACAGCCAGAUCUCACAUAAAGCCGCAACAAUGUAGCCAAUAGAUAUUCUCUGCAAAAUGCCCAGCCAACGUAUUCUUUCAAUGUCAACACCAUAGGUCAAGGAAUUUAUCCCAUGAAAAUAACCACCUUGAAGAAAAACACCCAGCAAAAAUAGUUUUACUGCCCUUAGCACUGCCUUCCGUGUGGCAUCUACUCUGUUUGAUACUUUCUUAUAGACAAGAGCCAGAGAAACUCCAGCUACGAAAAGAAAGAAAGGCAUCACAAAAUCUGCCAAGCGAAGGCCGUUCCAAGGAGAAUGAGCAAUAAUUGGGAAAAUCGAACCCACAUAAUCAACAAGCAUCAUUAGAAAGAUGCAGAGGCCACGAAAGACAUCAAGAGAAGCUACACGAGAACUUCUCUUGUAGCUCUUUAGCUGUUCAUCAUCGAUCUGCAGACUACGGGCUUUUGCAGAUCGAUGAUGAACAGCUAAAGAGCUACAAGAGAAGUUCUCGUGUAGCUUCUCUUGAUGUCUUUCGUGGCCUCUGCAUCUUUCUAAUGAUGCUUGUUGAUUAUGUGGGUUCGAUUUUCCCAAUUAUUGCUCAUUCUCCUUGGAACGGCCUUCGCUUGGCAGAUUUUGUGAUGCCUUUCUUUCUUUUCGUAGCUGGAGUUUCUCUGGCUCUUGUCUAUAAGAAAGUAUCAAACAGAGUAGAUGCCACACGGAAGGCAGUGCUAAGGGCAGUAAAACUAUUUUUGCUGGGUGUUUUUCUUCAAGGUGGUUAUUUUCAUGGGAUAAAUUCCUUGACCUAUGGUGUUGACAUUGAAAGAAUACGUUGGCUGGGCAUUUUGCAGAGAAUAUCUAUUGGCUACAUUGUUGCGGCUUUAUGUGAGAUCUGGCUGUCACGUCGAACACACAGGGAAGUAGGUUUCUUCAAGAGUUAUUAUUGGCACUGGAUUUUGGCAUUUUCAUUGUCAGCAAUGUAUCUGGGAUUAGUAUAUGGUUUAUAUGUUCCUGAUUGGAGAUUUGAAAUAUCAAGUCCAACUUCUUCUAUGCUUCCAAUCAAUGGCAGCUAUGCUUACAUGGUGAAAUGUUCUGUAAGAGGUGAUCUUGGACCAGCUUGUAAUUCAGCUGGAAUGAUUGAUCGCUAUGUUCUUGGUAUUGACCAUCUAUAUGCAAAACCUGUGUACAGAAACCUGAAGGUCUCUGAGAAGUUCAUUUUAUAGUUUCUUUCCAUCAGUAUGCAAUAUACUGAUCUCUGAUAAAGAUUUCAACUUAUAGGAAUGUAAUAUGACAAACAGCCAAGUUUCAGAAAGUUCACCUUCAUGGUGUCAUGCUCCUUUCGAUCCUGAAGGUCUUUUAAGCUCCUUAACAGCUGCAGUGACCUGCAUAAUUGGACUUCAGUGCGGUCAUGUUCUUGCUCACAUACAGGUGAUACAUUUGUGACUUAUUCACUUUACUCGCUUCUUUUCAUUCUUUUUUCCUAUGGUCAACUUCAUCAUCCAAGGGAGAUGUUUCAAAAAUGAUUGAAACUAUAGAGGUGAAAAGCAUCUCAUCAUAUUUAGGCAUAUAUCGCCUCUACUAACGCCGUUGAUGCCAUUUUGAUCAAUUGUUUUGGUCACUGGUCGUCAAGCACAUUGAUGUUACACAAAUGCUUUUCAGAGCCACAAGGAGCGCAUACAAAGCUGGUCUUUAUUUUCUGUUUCACUUUUUCUCCUUGGAAUGUUCCUUGCCUUCAUAGGUAUGCUCUUCAAUGGCUCAUAAUUUUGCCUUUAAUGAAUAUUCAGAUUUCUUCUUAUGAUGAUGACAACAAAAGAAGGAACAAUGCUACUGUAGUUUUCUUCUAGUAAACAUUCCAUGUUCAUAGUAAAUUGAAAAGCUUCUUCUUGUCUAAAUUUGAUUUUCCCAACCAAUUUAUUCUAGCAAUCAAUUUUAGGCUUUUAGCAAAUUCAUAUGAAUUUGAUCUCCUCCUCACAAUACUGAAUCUUAAACCCCUUUGCUUUUGUUUUGCAGGCAUCCCAGUGAAUAAAUCUCUCUAUACAAUUAGUUAUAUGCUGAUUACUUCUGCUUCUGCAGGAAUCACAUUUUGUGCUUUAUACUUGCUGGUAGAUGUAUAUGGUUACAGAUGGGUGACAACGCCACUGGGGUGGAUGGGAAAGCAUUCCUUAAGUAUCUUUGUUCUUGUAACUUCUAACAUAGCUAUUAUUGCAAUUCAAGGAUUCUACUGGUCUAAGCCUGAAAAUAACUUGAUUCACUGGAUCGUCGCGUGCUUCGUGAACAGAUGAUAUCCUUAUGUGGAUGCUCUACAUUGGGCAAAAGGUGGGCAAGAAGCUAUUUUUUAAGCACGAGUGAAUGUGGGAAUUACACUGUUUCAGAUUCCAGAAAACGAGAUCAUGGAGGAGUGAUCCCAAUUUUUCUGUAAUUUUCCAUGAAAUGGAGCUCCGAAAGCUUGCGCUUGACAAUAAUGUAGUUUACUCAAUUUUUUGGAAUGAAAUGACCACAUUUCAAAUCUAUCAGUUGAAGCAGUCCUCUUCCUUCUUCUGUUUAUCCCUUUUUCCCCUUCAAAUUUUCUCUUUCAAAUUUCUAGCCAACAUUGUAUCCAUAUUGAAUGAAAUCUGUAAGGUAAUUUGAAAAUUUUCUUUUAAACAUUUUAUUCAUAUAUGAAAUUUUCACACAAAUUGAAAUGGCGGCAUUGGAUUCUUG